ensembl:lncRNA
GUGGUUUCAAAAAAUAUUUUAUUUUCUGGAAUAGCCAUAAUAUCUCAGCUCUGUCUUUAUGCCCUCUCUCCACACGGAGGAGGCAGAAGCUAUGACGACACUGAGGUGUCACACAUCACACCAGCAAAACAGAAUAAUGGGAGUGUUUAGGAGACUGUAGAAAAUGCUCACCAGGGUGCAUACGGACAGGAUGGGGGCUGGGUGUCGCUGGGCUGCUGCUGUCUGUCAAGGACAUUCAGAGAGAUACACAUGUCCCCUGGUGCAGGGCCCGCCUCAAUCUUCAUCUCUUCACUCUCAUAUGUUAAGUGAAGCAGAGGAAGAACAGCAGAGAGUCCUCCGCGGCUGCUGGACUCGGCAAUGCAACUGUCACAGGUGAUGAGACUGGGAAUGUGCCUUACACAUCCCAUAGAGUCCGACGGUCACGAAUGCAAGAUUUGCUUCAAGAAAUUUCUGGGAUUCUUGUUUCAUGUGCAAAGUGUCUAGUCUGAAUUUGUAGGGUGAUGCCGUUCUUCCAAGACGUGACUUUUCCUCUUUGCAACAGACAGGAUAGGAAUAUUUGGGGUCACUUGGCAACAAUGAUGACGGGGAAUCCUGUGUGUCUCUUCCCUGGAGCAUUUGCUCUGCACGCAGAAGGAAGCCAUUUGCACUGGAUGGAGUCUGUAUGAAGCUGGCAGCAGGGAUUGCAUCGGAGAGUUAAGUAGGGCAAGCCUCCGAGUUGCACCCACUUUAACGAUGGUAUAAUCUGAAGCUGAUUUGUCCUCUGGACGUCUCCAGCCAGUACUAAGAAUGAACAGUUCCACUGGGCUUCCCUUGGGCAUUGGAACCUCUGUGAAUUCUGACUCUGCACAAGAGGAAGGCGGAUGAAAACUUCACAACAGAGUGGGCCAGGCAGGGGGUCAGAGAUGGCUGGAUGGGACCACAAGGAUGGAUGGAGGUUACAGAUGCCAGCACGGCCCCGGAGGUGGCACUGCCCAUGAGUCCUGGUUGCCCGGUGAUGGCUUGGCAGAAUGAGUGACGGGUGGGGGAGAUGGCCUUAAUCCUUAUUGACAGUCAUCCCACCCUUCACCCCCGCAGUGCAGCUGGGUUGACAUGCUGGUGGACAGUCUUCAGAGAAGGGCCGAGCAGUGACCUUCAGAGAUCCAUCCCUCCACACUGGAGUCCUGGACUGCUGGUGGCUUACGAGGGGGAUGAUCUUACCACUCCCUGGCUUGCACCUGGCAUGCAGGCAAACUGAAGACUCCACAGCCACCAGGGCUCUCCAUCAUUGUAGGGGCCCUAAGUAGAUGCAAAGGAAAGGAAAAAAGAGUAAGAAAAAAAAUCAAUGGUGAUCUGAUGAAAGAUUACCUCCCCCAACUCCCUGCCACCCCCUCAUUCUCUUUAGAGACAAGGUCUGGCUCUGUUACCCAGGCUGGAGUGCAGAAUCAUAGCAAUCAAACUCUUGCACUUUUUUAUUUUUUUAGAGACAGGAGCUGGCUCUGCUACCCAGGCUGGAGUACAGUGGCACAAUCAGAGCUGACCGUAAUCUCAAACUCUUGCACUUGUUAAAUUUUGUUAGAGACGGGGCCUGGCUCUGUUACCCUGGCAGGAGUGCAGUGGCACAAUCAUGGCGAUCAAACUCUUGCACUUUUAAAUUUUUUUAGAGAUGGUGCCUGGCUCUGUUGCUUAGGCUGCAGUGCAGUGCCACAAUCACAGCUGACUGUAAUCUCAAACUCUUGCACUUUUAAAUUUUUUUUGAGAUGGGGCCUGGCUCUGUUGCUUAGGCUGGGCACAUUGGCGCAACCAUAGCUGUCAUCUUAAAUGCCUGGGCUUAAACAAUUCUUCUGCCUCAGCCUCUUGAGUAGUUAAUGCUACAGGUGUGUGCACCAAGUAGCUAAUUUUAAAAUUUUUUUUUUUUUUUUUGUCUCGUUAAGCUUCCCAGGCUGGUCUUGAACUCUUGGACUCAAGUAAUCCUCCCACCUCAGCCUCCCAAAGUGCUGUGCUGACAAGCAAGAGCCACUGUGCCCAGCCAGUACGUCUCUUUAAUGCUACUGACAAGUCAUUUCACCCAGCACUUUGGUUCCUAGUAUCAUGUUCAGAUAAAAAGUACCAGGGCUCUCUGGAAUAAUGGUUAAUUCUAAGAAUGGAGCUUGGGUGAUACAGAUAUGCCUGGACCAUCUUGUAGUACAAGCAAAUAAGAAAACGCUCAAACACACAAAAAACUGAGGGUGUGUGAAAGAUAAGCAAAAGCCAACCUGAAAGAGCUCCUGGUGCUCAAAGCUGAAAUGACUUGGGCAAUAAGAUGAAAUAAUAUUAGAUGGUAACCCAAGGCAGUCAAUAAUUGAAUAAAUACAUAAAGGAAGGAGGAGAUACAAAUCUCCCAUGCAGAAGAGUUCCAAAUAAUUGAUGUAGAUAUUUUAUUCUCAAGAAGAUGAAAUACAACUCCCCACUCCAUUAAGUGUGGGUUGCAUGUAGAGACUUCCUUUCAAAGAGC